UCAGGAUGAACGCUAGCUACAGGCUUAACACAUGCAAGUCUAGGGGCAUCAGGAAGAAAGCUUGCUUUCUUUGCUGGCGACCGGCGCACGGGUGAGUAACACGUAUCCAACCUGCCCUUUACUCGGGGAUAGCCUUUCGAAAGAAAGAUUAAUACCCGAUAGCAUAAUGAUUCCGCAUGGUUUCAUUAUUAAAGGAUUCCGGUAAAGGAUGGGGAUGCGUUCCAUUAGGUUGUUGGUGAGGUAACGGCUCACCAAGCCUUCGAUGGAUAGGGGUUCUGAGAGGAAGGUCCCCCACAUUGGAACUGAGACACGGUCCAAACUCCUACGGGAGGCAGCAGUGAGGAAUAUUGGUCAACGGGCGCUAGCCUGAACCAGCCAAGUAGCGUGAAGGAUGAAGGCUCUAUGGGUCGUAAACUUCUUUUAUAUAAAAAUAAAGUGCAGUAUGUAUACUGUUUUGUAUGUAUUAUAUGAAUAAGGAUCGGCUAACUCCGUGCCAGCAGCCGCGGUAAUACGGAGGAUCCGAGCGUUAUCCGGAUUUAUUGGGUUUAAAGGGAGCGUAGGUGGACUGGUAAGUCAGUUGUGAAAGUUUGCGGCUCAACCGUAAAAUUGCAGUUGAUACUGUCAGUCUUGAGUACAGUAGAGGUGGGCGGAAUUCGUGGUGUAGCGGUGAAAUGCUUAGAUAUCACGAAGAACUCCGAUUGCGAAGGCAGCUCACUGGACUGCAACUGACACUGAUGCUCGAAAGUGUGGGUAUCAAACAGGAUUAGAUACCCUGGUAGUCCACACAGUAAACGAUGAAUACUCGCUGUUUGCGAUAUACAGUAAGCGGCCAAGCGAAAGCAUUAAGUAUUCCACCUGGGGAGUACGCCGGCAACGGUGAAGCUCAAAGGAAUUGACGGGGGCCCGCACAAGCGGAGGAACAUGUGGUUUAAUUCGAUGAUACGCGAGGAACCUUACCCGGGCUUAAAUUGCAGUGGAAUGAUGUGGAAACAUGUCAGUGAGCAAUCACCGCUGUGAAGGUGCUGCAUGGUUGUCGUCAGCUCGUGCCGUGAGGUGUCGGCUUAAGUGCCAUAACGAGCGCAACCCUUAUCUUCAGUUACUAACAGGUCAUGCUGAGGACUCUGGAGAGACUGCCGUCGUAAGAUGUGAGGAAGGUGGGGAUGACGUCAAAUCAGCACGGCCCUUACGUCCGGGGCUACACACGUGUUACAAUGGGGGGUACAGAAGGCAGCUAGCGGGUGACCGUAUGCUAAUCCCAAAAGCCUCUCUCAGUUCGGAUCGAAGUCUGCAACCCGACUUCGUGAAGCUGGAUUCGCUAGUAAUCGCGCAUCAGCCACGGCGCGGUGAAUACGUUCCCGGGCCUUGUACACACCGCCCGUCAAGCCAUGGGAGCCGGGGGUACCUGAAGUACGUAACCGCAAGGAUCGUCCUAGGGUAAAACUGGU
rnacentral:rRNA from 1 species